AUACGUAGGGUGCGAGCGUUGUUCGGAAUCAUUGGGCGUAAAGCGCGUGUAGGCGGCCAUCUAAGUCUGGUGUGAAAGCCCGGGGCUUAACCCCGGAAGUGCACUGGAUACUGAAUGGCUAGAGGAUGAGAGAGGAAGGUGGAAUUCCCAGUGUAGAGGUGAAAUUCGUAGAUAUUGGGAAGAACACCGGUGGCGAAGGCGGCCAUCUGGCUCGGCUCUGACGCUGAGGCGCGAAAGCGUGGGGAGCAAACAGGAUUAGAAACCCCAGUAGUCC
rnacentral:rRNA from 1 species